rnacentral:rRNA from 1 species
GCCGGCCUGAGAGGGCGACCGGCCACACUGGGACUGAGACACGGCCCAGCACUCCUACGGGAGGCAGCAGUGGGGAAUAUUGCACAAUGGGCGAAAGCCUGAUGCAGCGACGCCGCGUGAGGGAUGACGGCCUUCGGGUUGUAAACCUCUUUCAGCAGGGAAGAAGCGAAAGUGACGGUACCUGCAGAAGAAGCGCCGGCUAACUACGUGCCAGCAGCCGCGGUAAUACGUAGGGCGCAAGCGUUGUCCGGAAUUAUUGGGCGUAAAGAGCUCGUAGGCGGCUUGUCACGUCGGUUGUGAAAGCCCGGGGCUUAACCCCGGGUCUGCAGUCGAUACGGGCAGGCUAGAGUUCGGUAGGGGAGAUCGGAAUUCCUGGUGUAGCGGUGAAAUGCGCAGAUAUCAGGAGGAACACCGGUGGCGAAGGCGGAUCUCUGGGCCGAUACUGACGCUGAGGAGCGAAAGCGUGGGGAGCGAACAGGAUUAGAUACCCUGGUAGUCCACGCCGUAAACGGUGGGCACUAGGUGUGGGCAACAUUCCACGUUGUCCGUGCCGCAGCUAACGCAUUAAGUGCCCCGCCUGGGGAGUACGA